UACGUAGGGGGCAAGCGUUGUUCGGAAUUACUGGGCGUAAAGGGCGCGUAGGCGGCACAGCAAGUCGGGAGUGAAAGCCCGGGGCUCAACCCCGGAACUGCUUUCGAAACUGCUGAGCUAGAGUACAGAAGGGGCAACCGGAAUUCCCAGUGUAGCGGUGAAAUGCGUAGAUAUUGGGAAGAACACCUGAGGCGAAGGCGGGUUGCUGGGCUGAUACUGACGCUGAGACGCGAAAGCGUGGGGAGCAAACAGG
rnacentral:rRNA from 1 species